AUCACCAAAACCGCAUUUUAUUUUAAUUAAGAGGAAAUCAUGAGUUUGGAAGAACAGUUUAUAUAUAUACGGAAAUCUGUGUUGGAACCAUGUAAACGCAUUUUUGGCACUGGUUUUAGCGACUGUUUAUGGUAUGACUUAACAACAACUCAAUCACAUUUCGAAAUUGGUAUUAUACUAAAUGUUCCCGGAAUCGUUCCAGAAUGGGACAAGAAACGAUUUCUCAUGUUAAAAGCACCUGAUGUACCAGAUUCAUUUCGGCAGAUCGUUUCUCCUGAUGGAUAUAUCCACCGCAAAAUUUUCUAAAACUGGUUUGACAGGGUUUUGAAUGCUUUAGAAACGAUUUACUUAAACUUAUAUCCGUACAAUGUUCUUUUUGCCCGAUUUUAAAAUUCCCGUGGUCGCAAUGGCCGCUGGAAGAUCCUCCAGUUUGUCCCGAAGUUUUUAACAAAUGGAGUUGGUACGCUACAAUGUCGGAGAGACCGGGUUUUAACGAUGAUCAUACUUUUUUGAUUUAUUGCCCAGAAUUGGUGAUUGAAUUGACUAAAGACGCCAAACAUUUUAAAGAAGUCUUUAGGACCAUGAAAUGGCAUAGCCAACAAAUUAAUUUAAAACACAUAAAUAAUCAUAUGAUAAGAUCCUUAAUGCUCCAUCAAAUCUCAAACGUUAACUGGGAAAGGAGUGUGAAAAGUCUUGCUGCGGAGAUGUGGACCCGUCUUGUGGAUCACCUGCGUGCCGGACGACUGGACUAUUUUUUAGGCUAUGGACACAACAGCUUUGAUUGCAUGGAUCGCGAAGAACUCGAUGAAUGUCUAUCUAAAACUCGAAUGAAACUUUUUGAACUUCUCGAAUCGUAUUCCAUCGAAUUCGAUGAUGAAAACCCUGCCUAAAUAAGAUCGUAUAUUGCAGUCUAUAAAUCAUUACCCGAAAAACUUCUUUUAGUUUACUCCAAAAGGUAUUAAUUUAAAUUAACAAAUAAUUUACUGUAUUCAACAAAAUAAUUAUGCAAGAAUUGAGUAUUGAAUA